rnacentral:rRNA from 1 species
AGUGAACGCUGGCGGCGUGCUUAACACAUGCAAGUCGAACGAGAACGGAUUAUAGCUUGCUAUAAUUGUCAGCUAAGUGGCGCACGGGUGAGUAAUGUAUAGGUAAUAUGCCUCUUACUAAGGGAUAACAAUUGGAAACGAUUGCUAAUACCUUAUAUUCCUUUUUAUCAAAAGAUAAAAAGGGAAAGAUUUAUUGGUAAGAGAUUAGCCUGUAUUGUAUCAGUUAGUUGGUGGGGUAAUGGCCUACCAAGACGAUGACGCAUAACUGGUUUGAGAGGAUGAGCAGUCACACUGGAACUGAGAACCGGUCCAGACUCCGACGGGAGGCAGCAGUGGGGAAUAUUGCACAAUGGACGAAAGUCUGAUGCAGCAACGCCGCGUGGAGGAUGACACAUUUCGGUGCGUAAACUCCUUUUAUAUAAGAAGAUAAUGACGGUAUUAUAUGAAUAAGCACCGGCUAACUCCGUGCCAGCCGCCGCGGUAA